UGGGGAAUAUUGCACAAUGGGCGAAAGCCUGAUGCAGCAACGCCGCGUGAGUGAUGAAGGUCUUCGGAUUGUAAAGCUCUGUCUUUUGGGACGAUAAUGACGGUACCAAAGGAGGAAGCCACGGCUAACUACGUGCCAGCAGCCGCGGUAAUACGUAGGUGGCGAGCGUUGUCCGGAUUUACUGGGCGUAAAGGGUGCGUAGGCGGAUGUUUAAGUGAGAUGUGAAAUACCCGGGCUUAACUUGGGUGCUGCAUUUCAAACUGGAUAUCUAGAGUGCAGGAGAGGAGAAUGGAAUUCCUAGUGUAGCGGUGAAAUGCGUAGAGAUUAGGAAGAACACCAGUGGCGAAGGCGAUUCUCUGGACUGUAACUGACGCUGAGGCACGAAAGCGUGGGUAGCAAACAGGAUUAGAUACCCUGGUAGUCCACGCCGUAAACGAUGAGUACUAGGUGUAGGAGGUAUCGACCCCUUCUGUGCCGCAGUAAACACAUUA
rnacentral:rRNA from 1 species